AGAACGAACGCUGGCGGCGUGGAUAAGACAUGCAAGUCGAACGCGACUUAUCUGGUUAGCAAUAACUAGGUAAGUUGAGUGGCGAAAGGGUGCGUAACACGUGGGAAUUUACCAAGAAGUGGGGAAUAGCUCGACGAAAGUCGAAUUAAUACCGCAUAUGAUCGCAAGAUCAAAGCCGGGGACCGCAAGGCCUGGCGCUUUUUGAGAAGCCCGCGGCCCAUCAGCUAGUUGGCGGGGUAACGGCCCACCAAGGCUAUGACGGGUAGCUGGUCUGAGAGGACGACCAGCCACACUGGAACUGAGACACGGUCCAGACACCUACGGGUGGCAGCAGUCGAGAAUUUUUCACAAUGGACGAAAGUCUGAUGGAGCGACGCCGCGUGGAGGAUGAAGGUUUUCGGAUUGUAAACUCCUGUCACUGCAGAACAAGGGUGCGUUUAUGAAUAGUAGAUGCAUUUGAUGGUAUGCGGAGAGGAAGGGACGGCUAACGUCUGUGCCA
rnacentral:rRNA from 1 species